UACGGAGGGGGCUAGCGUUGUUCGGAAUUAUUGGGCGUAAAGAGCUCGUAGGCGGUCUGUCGCGUCGGCUGUGAAAACGCGAGGCUCAACCUCGCGCCUGCAGUGGGUACGGGCAGACUAGAGUGUGGUAGGGGAGAUUGGAAUUCCUGGUGUAGCGGUGGAAUGCGCAGAUAUCAGGAGGAACACCGAUGGCGAAGGCAGAUCUCUGGGCCAUUACUGACGCUGAGGAGCGAAAGCGUGGGGAGCGAACAGG
rnacentral:rRNA from 1 species